CGCUGGCGGCGUGCUUAAGACAUGCAAGUCGAACGAAUGUAGAAAUACAUUAGUGGCGGACUGGUGAGUAACGUGUGAGCAAUCUGCCUUUAACUGGGGGAUAACACUUAGAAAUAGGUGCUAAUACCGCAUAAGACCACAUACAGGCAUCUGUAAGGGGUCAAAGAUUUAUCGGUUAAAGAUGAGCUCGCAUCCCAUUAGAUAGUUGGUGAGGUAACGGCCCACCAAGUCAACGAUGGGUAGCCGACCUGAGAGGGUGAUCGGCCACACUGGAACUGAGAUACGGUCCAGACUCCUACGGGAGGCAGCAGUCGGGAAUAUUGGGCAAUGGAGGCAAACCUCUGACCCAGCAACGCCGCGUGAAGGAAUAGAAGGUCUUCGGAUUGUAAACUUCUGUCGUGAGGGACGAAGAAUGACGGUACCUCACAAGAAAGCCCCGGCUAACUACGUGCCAGCCGCCGC
rnacentral:rRNA from 1 species